rnacentral:tRNA from 2 species
GGGGAUAUGGCGAAAUUGGUAGACCCUACGGACUU